CUCUUCUCCCUGGCACUACAGUGAAGCCGAGAGAUUGGAAUAUUGAGCAUUUCAGGCAAGAGCCAAGAAAUAAAUUCAUACGAAGCAAAUCUAUAAAGGAGAGCAGUAGAGUUGAAAAUUUCACGGAAAAAGCAGUAGUUUGACGAGUAAACUCACUGAGUUGAGACAAGUGUGAAACUCAUUACAACCUGAAUUUCUUACAUGUCUCAGUUUCUCCUUCCUUUUAAGCUUCCUAAUAGAAAAAGUUCAAUUCACAUUAUUGGCAACUCCACUAUUUGCCCUCACUUCCAUCAAAAAAUAAAUAAAUUAGAAACACCUCCUUUUCCACAUUUAUUUUAAUCUAGAGUGUUGUGGCCUCUCAGGAUUUAUUUUAUGGUUUCUCAAAAGACCAAAUAUUGGAACUCUGACUCUUAAAUCCGUGGGGGAAUAUGUCUAUUUCUACUUUAUUUGGGCAAGUUGAUUGAGAGGGACUGGAGUUUGAUUUAAUACCUGUUAACUUCUGUAGACUAUGUAUUAAAACUGUCGCAGAAAUAGUAGUAAAUACUACAAUAAAGUUUUAUUUUAAUUCA